rnacentral:lncRNA from 1 species
UUCAUUUUAAUUUUUUUUUUUUUAAUGGUAAUAGGCCGCGGUUCCCGGUACAACUGCGGCCUAUUGGGCUCUAUGUCUGCGAUUUUAAUGUGAACCGCGGUAGUAUCCCUUACUUAGGUUAACAAAACUUUGAAUAGUUUUCUUCUUCCAUGCUCUCUGAAAACUAAACUCGCGCGCAAGCUUUUCUCCGUCAGCCUCCACUUUGACGCCGGACUCUUGCUUCUCCGUCCACCUCUACAUUGACGCCGGCCAUUCCCGAAUCGUCAUCAUCUUCGUCGCACCCGUGCUUAUCCGCCGCCGCCACAUUGACGCCAGCCAUUCCCAAAUCGUCUCCGGCGUCGGACCCAUCUUCUCCGCCGCGACACUGUUCUCUGCCGCGACCCUUCUUCUCCGCCACGCCAAAU